rnacentral:sRNA from 1 species
UCCUAGCCCUGAUUGCAGUGGAAAUCCUGUAAUUGCGAAUUUUAAUCCCGAAUGAGAUUGCUUCGUUCCUCGCAAUGACAGAUUGCAACGUAAAGCAGGAAAUAGC